GAGGAAAUACUGUGUGCCUCUCUGCUGAACCCUGCGCUCCGGGCUGGCACGGGGAGAGAGAGAGCUGUGUGUGUGUGUGUGCCUCUCUGCUGAACCCUGCGCUCCGGGCUGGCACGGGGGAGAGAGAGAGCUGUGUGUGUGUGUGUGUGCCUCUCUGCUGAACCCUGCGCUCCGGGCUGGCACGGGGGGAGAGAGAGAGCUGUGUGUAUGCCUCCAUGCUCAGUCUUUGUUCUGAGGGAGUUGAUCUUUAGCUCUCGACUGCUGUGGCGUCUCGCAUUGUGCCGCAGGAGGAGAGCCCUCUCAGAGAAGCAACCGUUCAAACGGAGAAGAGUGUUCCUGGGAACAGCGUUAGGCAAGACCCAACCUGUCCCCGGGAACAUCUGCAGGGCCAGGGCUCGUCCCGUGUCUUAGAGAUGGGGCUGAGACUUGUUUAUGUCAACCAACCUGUCUAGACUCGCCCCGAACUAACACAGAAAGACACAAGCCCUCAAACAUACAGCUGGGAAACAUAGCAGGCAGAACGGGAAGAAAGACAGGGUUUAAAAGAUAAGGAAAUGAUUUUUCGAUAAUGCUGCAGUCUGGAAAAGGCCCAUUUUUCAAACCGUUUUUAAAUUAUUUUAAAUUAUUGUUUUCUUCCCUGAGCAUUAGGAGGUUACCCAGGCUAUAAUAGUGGCAUUAGGAGGUUACCCAGGCUAUAAUAGUGGCAUUAGGAGGUUACCCAGGCUAUAAUAGUGGCAUUAGGAGGUUACCCAGGCUAUAAUAGUGGCAUUAGGAGGUUACCCAGGCUAUAAUAGUGGCAUUAGGAGGUUACCCAGGCUAUAAUAGUGGCAUUAGUAGGUUACCCAGGCUAUAAUAGUGGCAUUAGUAUACCCAGGCUAUAAUAGUGGCAUUAGUAUACCCAGGCUAUAAUAGUGGCAUUAGUAUACCCAGGCUAUAAUAGUGGCAUUAGGAUACCCAGGCUAUAAUAGUGGCAUUAGGAUACCCAGGCUAUAAUAGUGGCAUUAGGAGGUUACCCAGGCUAUAAUAGUGGCAUUAGGAGGUUACCCAGGCUAUAAUAGUGGCAUUAGGAGGUUACCCGGGCUAUAAUAGUGGCAUUAGGAGUUUACCCAGGCUAUAAUAGUGGCAUUAGGAGGUUACCCAGGCUAUAAUAGUGGCAUUAGGAGUUUACCCAGGCUAUAAUAGUGGCAUUAGGAGGUUACCCAGGCUAUAAUAGUGGCAUUAGGAGGUUACCCAGGCUAUAAUAGUGGCAUUAGGAGGUUACCCAGGCUAUAAUAGUGGCAUUAGGAGGUUACCCAGGCUAUAAUAGUGGCAUUAGGAGGUUACCCAGGCUAUAAUAGUGGCAUUAGGAGGUUACCCAGGCUAUAAUAGUGGCAUUAGGAGGUUACCCAGGCUAUAAUAGUGGCAUUAGUAUACCCAGGCUAUAAUAGUGGCAUUAGUAUACCCAGGCUAUAAUAGUGGCAUUAGGAGGUUACCCAGGCUAUAAUAGUGGCAUUAGGAUACCAGGCUAUAAUAGUGGCAUUAGGAUACCCAGGCUAUAAUAGUGGCAUUAGGAUACCCAGGCUAUAAUAGUGGCAUUAGGAUACCCAGGCUAUAAUAGUGGCAUUAGGAGGUUACCCAGGCUAUAAUAGUGGCAUUAGGAGAUUACCCAGGCUAUAAUAGUGGCAUUAGGAUACCCAGGCUAUAAUAGUGGCAUUAGGAUACCCAGGCUAUAAUAGUGGCAUUAGGAUACCCAGGCUAUAAUAGUGGCAUUAGGAGGUUACCCAGACUACAAUAGGGGCAUUAGGAUACCCAGACUAUAAUAGUGGCAUUAGGAUACCCAGACUAUAAUAGUGGCAUUAGGAUACCCAGGCUAUAAUAGUGGCAUUAGGAGGUUACCCAGACUAUAAUAGUGGCAUUAGGAGGUUACCCAGACUAUAAUAGUGGCAUUAGGAGGUUACCCAGACUAUAAUAGUGGCAUUAGGAGGUUACCCAGGCUAUAAUAGUGGCAUUAGGAGGUUACCCAGGCUAUAAUGGAACAGUAGUGGCAUUAGGAGGUUACCCAGGCUAUAAUAGUGGCAUUAGGAGGUUACCCAGGCUAUAAUGGAACAGUAGUGGCAUUAGGAGGUUACCCAGGCUAUAAUAGUUGCAUUAGUAUACCCAGGCUAUAAUAGUGGCAUUAGGAUACCCAGGCUAUAAUAGUGGCAUUAGGAGGAUACCCAGGCUAUAAUAGUGGCAUUAGGAUACCCAGGCUAUAAUAGUGGCAUUAGGAGGUUACCCAGGCUAUAAUAGUGGCAUUAGGAUACCCAGGCUAUAAUAGUGGCAUUAGGAGGUUACCCAGACUAUAAUAGUGGCAUUAGGAGGUUACCCAGGCUAUAAUAGUGGCAUUAGGAGGUUACCCAGGCUAUAAUAGUGGCAUUAGGAGGUUACCCAGGCUAUAAUAGUGGCAUUAGGAGGUUACCCAGGCUAUAAUAGUGGCAUUAGGAGGUUACCCAGACUAUAAUAGUGGCAUUAGGAGGUUACCCAGACUAUAAUAGUGGCAUUAGGAGGUUACCCAGACUAUAAUAGUGGCAUUAGGAGGUUACCCAGGCUAUAAUAGUGGCAUUAGGAGGUUACCCAGACUAUAAUAGUGGCAUUAGGAGGUUACCCAGACUAUAAUAGUGGCAUUAGGAGGUUACCCAGACUAUAAUAGUGGCAUUAGGAGGUUACCCAGGCUAUAAUAGUGGCAUUAGGAGGUUACCCAGGCUAUAAUAGUGGCAUUAGGUUACCCAGGCUAUAAUAGUGGCAUUAGGAGGUUACCCAGGCUAUAAUAGUGGCAUUAGGUUACCCAGGCUAUAAUAGUGGCAUUAGGAGGUUACCCAGGCUAUAAUAGUGGCAUUAGGUUACCCAGGCUAUAAUAGUGGCAUUAGGAGGUUACCCAGGCUAUAAUAGUGGCAUUAGGAGGUUACCCAGGCUAUAAUAGUGGCAUUAGGAGGUUACCCAGGCUAUAAUAGUGGCAUUAGGAUACCCAGGCUAUAAUAGUGGCAUUAGGUUACCCAGGCUAUAAUAGUGGCAUUAGGAUACCCAGGCUAUAAUGGAACAGUGCUAUACAGCUGCAGUGGGCAGGACCAUAGCUACAUUUGAGGACACGAGCCCCGGACCUCGGUCAUAAAAUAAUGUAUUAAAAUAAAUUCCAGGGGCCCCCAAUGAUUUUAUUCGCCACUCACCUAGAAAUCGUAUGGACAUGGCAUAAAUCAUGGCAAAACAUGUGUAGAUUUGCAGGAAAUUUGCUGUGAAACUACAACAAAAAGUUAUGUAAAACUAACAUUUUUUAAAAGAAAUGUAGUUAAUAAAAUACUUUUUCUGCUAACACACCCCUCUGUAUGUAUUAAAUGAUAGUUUGUCAUUCCGGUGUGCGGCGUUAAUGUGAGUUAAUGUGUAGCAGCUAAUUGUAUAGCUAAUACGCUGUGUGUUUGUAGAUGGACUGAGGUGAUUGGAGCUCCGGUUGUCAAGGUGAUAAUGGCUGGGGUCAUUUUUUUGUUGUUGUUUUUUUGCUGUUCUCCAAAUAUAAUUUUAGUGUUUUAGUUUUAAAAUUCUCUAGAAAUGCAGCAAAUGAACUUUAUUAAAAUUCACAGACAGGAUCAGCUGUUUGGUACCCAACUUUUGAACCCAGUGAGAAAUCUGUCCAUUCCUCUACAUAGCACAAUUAGUUGAUGUGUUCAGAUGUAGUCAAGCUCACUGCCUGUAUCACAUGAGAUGUGAUUGGUUGUUUAAACUGUAGCUCUAAAA